rnacentral:rRNA from 1 species
CCUACGGGUGGCAGCAGUGGGGAAUAUUGCACAAUGGGCGCAAGCCUGAUGCAGCCAUGCCGCGUGUGUGAAGAAGGCCUUCGGGUUGUAAAGCACUUUCAGCGGGGAGGAAGGCGGUGAGGUUAAUAACCUCAUCGAUUGACGUUACCCGCAGAAGAAGCACCGGCUAACUCCGUGCCAGCAGCCGCGGUAAUACGGAGGGUGCAAGCGUUAAUCGGAAUUACUGGGCGUAAAGCGCACGCAGGCGGUCUGUCAAGUCGGAUGUGAAAUCCCCGGGCUCAACCUGGGAACUGCAUUCGAAACUGGCAGGCUAGAGUCUUGUAGAGGGGGGUAGAAUUCCAGGUGUAGCGGUGAAAUGCGUAGAGAUCUGGAGGAAUACCGGUGGCGAGGGCGGCCCCCUGGACAAAGACUGACGCUCAGGUGCGAAAGCGUGGGGAGCAAACAGGAUUAGAUACCCUGUAGUC